CACACCCUCACCUGGACACACACACACACGUACGCUCGCUCUUACGCAGGCUUCCGAAUCUGCGCCUCGGCGGCGGUGGGGGCGGCGGAUUUGCAGACCGCUGGCGCGGGGAUCCGCCGCCGGCGACCGGGAGCCGCCAGUCGCUACCCUGUGAGGCGCGCCGCCGAGACGGCCGGUGCUCGGCGCUCUCUGCAACACCCACUACCUGCUUCCGGCGCGCCUGUCGCAACUCCCCGUGCCUCGGCUCGCCACUUUUCGAAACACGGGAGGCGCCGUGACUACUUCAGGUUUCAAGUGAAAAUGGCGCAAGAAUAAAGAUAAUUCACAGUGGCAAGAUUCGCGCUGUGAUUAGGUACCUAUUCUGUUGUUUUUUAUUUUCAUUUUUUUUCAAGAAAACACACAAUCAAACAAAUUUUGGAUGGUGUGUCUAGUACACUGGUUCUAACUGCUCUUCCUACUCCACUAUUAAGAAUUGAGUUGAUGCAUUUAAAACAGUGCAUUUCGGCACUGAAGAUGAAGACCACCCUGGAAGGCCAACUCAAGUCAUAGUUGCAGAAACCAUGGAAGAUGUUGAUUCUGUGAUCCUGGAAGAUCAAAUAGUAACUUCUAAAAACAUUGUAGAGGCCCUGGGAUUAUCCUAAGAACAUGUGGAUCAUAUUAUUUAUGAGAUUUUGGACAUGAGAAAGCUCUCAGUGAAACAGGUUCCCAAAUAUGUCAAUGCAGAGCUAAAGCAUCAAUGAGUGGUUGCUUCAUUGUUCAUUUUGGUCCAGUUUCGUCGGAAUCCAGCGAGAGUUUUGGAGUCUCUAGUGAUCAUGGACGAAACAUGGAUAUACACUUACGAUCCAGAGACCGAAGAACAGCCCAAAGAAUCGAGUCACAGUAGAUAUAAUUUGUCAGUUCUGAGUCACCUACUCAAAAUUAUGUAUAAAUUAUAUCUAAAAAGAGCUAAAUUUUAAUUUUUUUCAAGAAUAAAAAUCAUAUAUGUUUAUACAUGAUUUACAUAUAAUUCUGACUAGGUGACUCAGAACAGACAAAUUAUAUCUCCUGUCCCAGUUCUAUUCCUCGCUCACAUUAUCAAAAUUAUGUGUGAAAUAGCUACAUUUUCAAUUUGUUAUACCUUUCUCACAUUCUCCUUUCCUAAAUUAGCCUAAUAAAAUUAAGGAAACGAAUUCUUCUAUUAUAAAAUCAAUUUUUGUGUAUACAUUUUUAAUAUUUUUAUUUCAAAAAAUAAUUUGGAUAUUAAUCAAGAUUUUGUAAGGCUCUAAUGAGAGCUGACUCAUUUGAGAAAACUAUCUGUCUGGAGUAGCAAGUGGGGAUAGGGCUCCAGUGGAGCAGAGAUUAGAAGUAAUAAUACUAAAAGAAUAUAUUAAGCUGAAAAUUCCAAAUCUUGAAAUUCAUUGUUAUUAUUUUUCAUUUUCUUUAAUCCAUUUCAUCUCAUUUUAAUCUGCUCUGCAUCAAAAAAUUUGAAAAUCCCCAUUAGUUAUUAAUUUCAAAUAUAUGUUUGGCAAAAUA